UAGAGUUUGAUCCUGGCUCAGGAUGAACGCUAGCUACAGGCUUAACACAUGCAAGUCGCGGGGCAACAUGUAACUGGCUUGCCAAUAAUGAUGGCGACCGGCGCACGGAUGAGUAUCGCGUAUCCAACCUUCCCAUAUCCACGGUGAUAGACUGCCGAAAGGCAAAUUAAUACCAUAUGUUGUCGCACUCUGGCAUCAAAAUGCGACGAAAGGAUUAACGGAUAUGGAUGGGGAUGCUUCCGAUUAGAUUGACGGCGGGGUAACGGCCCACCGUGGCGACCAUCGGUAGGGGUUCUGACAGGAAGGUCCCCAACAUUGCAACUGAAACGCGACCCAAACUCCAACCGGAGGCAACAGUGAGGAAUAUUGGUCAAUGGGCGUAAGCCUGAACCAACCAAGUAGCGUGCAGGACGACAGCCCUAUGGGUUGUAAACUGCUUUUAUGCGGGGAUAAAGUAUGGGACGUGUCCCAUUUUGCAGGUACCGCAUGAAUAACGACCGGCUAAUUCCGUGCCAGCAGCCGCGGUUAUACGGAAGGUCCGGGCGUUAUCCAUAUUCUGUGUGUUUAAAGGGAGCGUACGCCGCCCCUUAACCGUGUUGUGAAAUGCCGCGGCUCAACCGUUCCCGGAAGCGCGAAUUGGGGGGAUUGAGUGUGCGAGACGCAGGCGUGAUUUCGUGGGUGUAGCGGUGAAAAGAUUUAGAUAUCACGCGGAACCCGGAGUGGGAAGGCAGCUUGGCGGGAGCACUACUGACGUUGAAGCUGGAAGGCGCGGGCAUGGUACAGGACUAGAUUCGUUCAUAGUCCGCGCGGUAAAUGAUGGAUGCCCGCUGUGUGCCUCUAUGGUAGGCGGCCAAGCGACAGUGUUUAGCAUCCCUCGUGGGGAGUAUGCCGGCAACGGUGAUACUCAAAGGAAUUGACGGGGGGCCGCACAAGCGGAGGAACAUGUGGUUUAAUUAGAUGAUAGGCGAGGAACCUUACCUGGGCUUGUACUUCCAGAGGAGGAUACAGAGAUGCUGAGUCCUUUCGGGGCGCUGGCGGAGGUGGUGCAUGGUUGUCGUCAGCUCGUGCCGUGAGGUGUCGGCUUAAGUGCCAUAACGAGCGCAACCCCUCUCCGUAGUUGCCAUCAGGUGAUGCUGGGCACUCUGCGGACACUGCCACCGCAAGGUGUGAGGAAGGUGGGGACGACGUCAAAUCAGCACGGCCCUUACGUCCGGGGCUACACACGUGUUACAAUGGGGGGUACAGAGCGCCGGCUCGCCGCAAGGAGAGUCCAAUCGCGAAAACCUCCUUCAGUUUGGACUGGGGUUUGCAACCCGACCCCCCGAAGCUGGAUUUGCUAGUAAUUGCGCAUCAGCCAUGGCGCGGUGAAUACGUUCCCGGGCCUUGCACACACCGCCCGUCA
rnacentral:rRNA from 1 species